AUCUAGGCCAUACUUCCUGGAAUGCACCCAUUCUCCUCUGAUCUCAGGGAGAUCAGGGUUGGGCCUCAUUAGUACUUGGAUGGGAGACUACCUAAGAAUACUGGGAGCUGUAGUCU
rnacentral:rRNA from 1 species